CGGUGGAGCAUGUGGUUUAAUUCGAAGCAACGCGAAGAACCUUACCAGGCCUUGACAUGCAGAGAACUUUCCAGAGAUGGAUUGGUGCCUUCGGGAACUCUGACACAGGUGCUGCAUGGCUGCCGUCAGCUCGUGUCGUGAGAUGUUGGGUUAAGUCCCGUAACGAGCGCAACCCUUGUCCUUAGUUACCAGCACGUUAUGGUGGGCACUCUAAGGAGACUGCCGGUGACAAACCGGAGGAAGGUGGGGAUGACGUCAAGUCAUCAUGGCCCUUACGGCCUGGGCUACACACGUGCUACAAUGGUCGGUACAAAGGGUUGCCAAGCCGCGAGGUGGAGCUAAUCCCAUAAAACCGAUCGUAGUCCGGAUCGCAGUCUGCAACUCGACUGCGUGAAGUCGGAAUCGCUAGUAAUCGUGAAUCAGAAUGUCACGGUGAAUACGUUCCCGGGCCUU
rnacentral:rRNA from 1 species